rnacentral:misc_RNA from 1 species
GAAGAAGAAGAAGAAGAAGAAGAAGAAGCGAAACAAAGAUCAAAUUUUUUAUCAAAAAAUUUGAUUCAUCACCAUAACCAAUCACCACAUCUAUCUCUCUAUCAUAUCGCUGAUUAAAUUAGCUAAAAAUUUCGCUAAUUUAUACAUUUUUUAAGCCAAAUUAUUGAAGUGGUUGUACUGAUUUGCAGAGAGGCAAAGGUGGGAGGGUGGGAAUUUGACGGUGCUGUUUUAAGGAAUUAGGGGUUUUUAUCUAUUUAUUUAUUU